rnacentral:rRNA from 1 species
UACGAAGGGGGCUAGCGUUGCUCGGAAUCACUGGGCGUAAAGGGCGCGUAGGCGGCCAUUUAAGUCGGGGGUGAAAGCCUGUGGCUCAACCACAGAAUUGCCUUCGAUACUGGAUGGCUUGAGACCGGAAGAGGUAAGUGGAACUGCGAGUGUAGAGGUGAAAUUCGUAGAUAUUCGCAAGAACACCAGUGGCGAAGGCGGCUUACUGGUCCGGAUCUGACGCUGAGGCGCGAAAGCGUGGGGAGCGAACGGG